CGCAGCACCCUCUUUCCUCUCCAAGUGGGAUCCCUUUAUCCCUCAAAAGAACAGUUCGGAAGGGCAGAGAGGGUCUGCAGAUGGCAGCAGUGGGCAGGCAGCCCCAUCUCGCUGUCCCCUCUCACAGGGACUAUUGUGGAAGCGGAUCAGACAGAUACAGUCUACUGAGUCUCCAUCAGCAUCCACCCUCUCGAGGAGAUUUAUGCCAAGUUGAUGUCCGGCUCAUGACAGCAGAGCCACUGACCCAGCAAACAUCGGUUUCUAAGCCUAGACAGCUCUGGGACAUAAGAACAAGUAUUUUGGGGGCAUCGCUACCCUACUGUUGGAUUAUUUAGCCCUCACUUUGCAGAAAGGUUAGAAGAAAGGGAAGGAGGCUGCACUGUUUAAAGAACUCGUGUGAGAUCAUAGAAGAGCCACGCUCAAGCCUGUUCCACUACAGAUUCGCUUUGCAAACCUCAAGCAAGCUUUUUGGUCAUCUGCCAGAGGGAGACAGCAGCGUGGCCACACAUCACAGAGGGGAGAUGAAGACAGACACAUGGAACACAGACAAGUCUGAAGCAGCAGGACUAUCCCCAUGAGCCUUCUCAGCAGCCUGGCCUUAUACUGGGUCAAGCACCAUGGGCAGCCGAGACCCUGGGGUCGGGGAGAGAGUCUCCUUUGCACAGCAUCCCCUUGGAGAUUCAAACGUGUGGAAAGGCAAGGGGCAACAUUCAUCCCCUCUUCCUUCAGCUUCAGAGGAAGAGCGGUGGUCAUCCUCUCCCUUAUGAUGCUGAGCUGUGUUUCACAGCCAGAAGAGAGACCUCUGCACGUCCCAAGCUGCACAAGCGGGUCCUGGUUGAGAUGGAGAACCAAAGGGCAAGAAAUAGCAAUAACAGCUCCCACGGCAGCUCACGCCCGCCCUAAUUCUCGGCGAGAAGGACGAACGAGAGGCUGAAAACCUCCGCUGCCCAUCAGACUCGCACCGUGCAAGGCCAGGGCACCACUGACCAUAAGGUUUCUUCAACUGCGCUCCCAGCUUUCUCUUGCUAUUCCAUCUUGCACGGUCGGUAACUGCCUUCUUGGCUUGGCUUUGCUAAUCUGACCACAAGGAAUUGGCAAACUAGUUCGAGAGGAGAAAUCAAAGGGGUUUUCAUGCGGCCUUUGCCACCUCUUUUGCAUAUGAUGCCCGAUGGUCUCCUUAGCUCUUCUAGAAAAGCUCUGGCUACAGGAGCGCGUUAUUUGAGGGUGAAACGCAUUAGCCUCUGUUUGCUCCAGAUUUGAUUCAUCUACUUAAAUAAUUUAAUACAGCAUCCAUCAGCAUGAAAGCUAGGCAAAUUGAAUCCAAAGGAUUUGAAGACGCAUAGAUUUAAUAAACUACCUUCAAAUCCUGGCUCUCAAAUUAUCGCUGUCUCUGGAUUAAUUCUACCUUAAUUAGACCAAAUAAUUUUCUCCAACUGAUUAAAUUAACAAAAUAAAGAUGAAAUAAAUAUAAAGCAAAAGCGAUUGGAAUAUAAACAGACAGAAAGUACAAACCAUAGUACCGAGCCUCAAAUCACACACCAAAACUCAAUGCACGAAGGUUCCCAUUAGAGUUCCACAAAGUCCCUGAAGGGGUACCCCAAAAUACAAGAACGACGGGGCACCACAUGAAACCUCCAGAGAGAGCUUUGAAACAGAUAGAAGUGGGGACUUCCUGACAGGAUGAUCAUUCAGUCGCCAGACUCGUUGCCACAAAAUACUGCACUCAUUAAAAGCAUGAGUAGAAUUUGAAAACUUAACAGAAGUCCACAGAGAGUUAUCAAACACAAAGGCCAGAACAUUUUUAAGCCAUAAACUACUUUGGGGUGGGACAGCAUACCGAGGAAAUGUCUCUCAGUACUUUCUUUGCUGUUACACCCUUUCCCUAAUUAUCAGCUGCUCCUGUCAGAGACAGGAUACUGAGCUUGACAGGCCUUUGGUCAAGCAUAAUGGGGCUAUCUUUAUAUCUGACAAGUCAUUAAUUGAGUAUACUUUAAGUUGUUGACUCUGGCUUUGGAGCCUUAUUGCAAAAGGUGACUAAAGAGCAUCCAAGCUAAACUCAGCUCAUGGAAUGUAGGAUAACAACUAGUCUCACAGGCUUAUCUAGCCUACAAGAGUUGUUCAUGUUCAACUCCAGUUAACUAUCAGAUCCAUUAAGCAUUAUUAUUGCAAAUGCUAUGUCAACAGCCUGUGCUGACAGCUAAUUACAACAAAAUGGACGACAAGACUCUAGGGAAGGUUGCAGGAAAGCAGAUUAAUCAGCAACACGGACUUUUAGGACCAAAAAAUAAAAAUAAAAAAACAGUAGCAUCUUCAACUAAGACCCAAUAUUUUGGGGACAGGAUCCAAAUGUUUCACCAUAUCUGUCCCAACCAAAUAGCUGGAAAUCACAGUCAAUACAGUCUUGUUUUUCCUGGAUAGUUCUUUGAAAGAAAGAGUAAGGAGAGCACCCUGUGCAUAUCCCAGUUGGAAGCAGUGAACAAGGGCACAGAGUCUUAGAAUCAUAGAAUAUCCCAAGCUGGAAGGGACCUAUAAGGUCCUGGCUCCACACAAGACCACUCAAAAAUCAGACCAUACGUCUGAGAGCGUUGUCCAGCAUGGAGAGAUCCAAGUCAGAAAGGUGUUUGCCCAGACCAGCCCCUGGAAACAAGAGGCAGAGCAGGCCACCACCCCAGAAGACGAUGCAGCCUCAGUGCUGAAUUCAAAGAUAUAUGUGGAAAUGGUCUAUUUUUAUACCCUUCCAGUAAAUGGUGCAGACCCAAACCCCACCACCUAAUGGGCAUCACCACCUGCAGGCUGAUCUAUUCUGUUUUGAUGGCAGUGGCAAGAUUUCAAAGCAGUAAAACAUCCAGGCAGCUUGGUUUGAAGCCAGCUAGCCUAAAUAGCACCAACAGGAGAGCUGCUGGGACUCUAAGAGCUCGCCCUGGUUUUGCAGUCUGUGCUGAGUUUCUUGUUGACACAACCUUGCUGAAUGCAUCUGAGCUUGCUGAAAGUGCAGACUUACAGUGUGACAUCCCAUGAGAGAGUUGCAACCAGUGAACCUACUUUGGACAAAGAGAAAAAGGUGUUCAGUCCUGAAGUUCUUCUGAGAAAAAGCAAUCCACGCAGUGCUCCUCCAAACCACAAAAUGACCUGAGAACAAAUACAGCUGUAGGAAAGCAGUAUUAGCACAGCCCAGGUCUCCUGCCAGAGUCGGAUCCCUACACUGACUGUAUUUUGCAGAAAAGCCCAUACUUCAUUUUCAGCCACUAGAAAAAAUUUGCAUGUAAUAGGAAAAAAACUAGAUGGAUAGAGCCUCUGGACCUGAUUCAGCUCUCACUGUCACCAACAGAAAGAGCCCCAGCAACCGCCAGGAGAGCUAGAAUGACCCUUCUGCCUAUUUUAGCACACCAGGGGCCCCCAAAGGCCAGGUGGGCAGCUGCCCCAGAAGGUGCCUUGCAGAAAGAUUCACGGGAAGGAUGUGUUCCUCACCAAUCUGCUGCAUUUCACAGUGGCAGCAAAGCAGGGUCUUUUUCCUAAUUUCCCCCUGUUCUCUAGAUAGAACAUGUGAAUAAAUACUAGAAUCCAAGCCUUCAGACUCUCCUGUGAGAACUCAUUAAAAUCAGUAAUCUUCACCAUUUUCCUCACUGGGACUAUUAAAUCUAUUGUUUUCCAUAUUACAGCUUUGGACCACUGUAGAAAUAUUACACACAGUAAAUCCGCAUUUCUGCAUGUUCACAACCAGAAGGAGGUAUUGGCAUCCUCUGUUUCCAUACAGCUUGCACUUUGCCCAGCAUUUGGAGAAAUGCAUUGAACCUGGAUGAGGAAAGGAAUUCAGCCCACAAAACAAGCUGUCAGUAUGCCUUCUGAAAAUCAACUGCUAUAAUACAGCACAGGUUCAUCUUCAACUCGGUCACCUUUUUUCUUCUGAGAACAGAUAUUUUCCUCAAAUAAGCUUCUUUUAUGUAAACUCUCCCGUUUCCACCCUCAACAUGGUUCUGCUUCCAGAUUGCUUUCUCCUCUUCUCUUUGCUCACUGUAUGAGAAAGAACCUUCAGAGGACACAUCCAAUCACUUGAAGGGCUGAGCACCCAUUUUAAGAGGGAAGAUCUCCAUAGAAUAAGAUACGAAUAUGUGAGAUGAUAGAAUAUGUGAGAAUAAGAGCAGUGGAGCACACUGAUUAUGGCAAAGGAGAGGCAUAAAUUUAAAAAAAAAUUAGACAAAACAAGUACACCUGAGCAACCUGUCCAAAUUUCAUUAAGGGUAUUUAGUGUGUUCCUCUCGGUCAACACCAUAUAUCCAUCACAUUGCAUUUGCAUCUCAGCUACAGGAUAUGGAAAUGACCUGCAAGACACAAUUUGAAGGGGGAGAAAAAAAGUUAUUGUUUCUUUUUAAAUGUCGGUGCCCGGGACAGAAUUAAUACCAGGCUCUUUGAACACAAUGAGAGUGUUUUCAUCGACAUAGGAAAGCAUAAUCUUUCACCCUGCUCUUUUUAAACUGAGUUCCACCAUUAGAAAUGAAGAAAUGGGCUGUGACAGCCCCUGUCUCACAGGGUGCCAGGGGCACCACCGAAUCACAGAACGCAUGAGGUGGUUCUGCCUCUUGAUAUUCUCCACCCACGUUCAGUUCUUUGGUUGAAAAACCGAUGCAAUGAAACGUGCCAACUGUGUUUCCACAAGCAAUAGGUGGCUUCUGCAGUAACUCUUCAUGGUUAAUAAGGUCUCGAGCAGCACAUCAAGAGGGGAAUGAAGGUUGCUCCCAGGGGGCAUCCCGAACUUUGUCAUGCUUCCAUU